UGUCUCAGUACUUGCUUUUACAAGGCGAAACCGCGAAUGGCUCAUUAAAUCAGUUAUGGUUCACUAGAUCGUCAAUUUUACACGGAUAACUGUGGUAAUUCUAGAGCUAAUACGUGCAAAUAGCUCGCUUCCUUGCGGAGCGAGCGCAGUUAUUAGAUCAAAACCAAUCCGGCCUUCGGGUCGGUACAAUUGGUGAUUCUGAAUAACCGAAGCAGAGCGCAUGGUCUCGUACCGGCGCCAGAUCUUUCAAGUGUCUGACUUAUCAGCUUGUUGUUAGGUUACGUUCCUAACAAGGCUUCAACGGGUAACGGGGUAUCAGGGUCCGAUACCGGAGAGGGAGCCUGAGAAACGGCUACCACAUCCAAGGAAGGCAGCAGGCGCGCAAAUUACCCACUCCUAGCACAGGGAGGUAGUGACGAAAAAUAACGAUGCGAGGGCUAUUAGCUUCUCGUAAUCGGAAUGGGUACACUUUAAAUCCUUUAACGAGGAUCUAUUGGAGGGCAAGUCUGGUGCCAGCAGCCGCGGUAAUUCCAGCUCCAAUAGCGUAUAUUAAAGUUGCUGCGGUUAAAAAGCUCGUAGUUGGAUCUGGGCUUCUGAAUGGAUGGUGCACUUUUCGGUGCAACUGUUCGUUUGGUGCCACAAGCCGGCCAUGUCUUGCAUGCUCUUCAUUGAGUGUGCAUGGCGACCGGAACGUUUACUUUGAAAAAAUUAGAGUGCUCAAAGCAGGCGUACGGCCUUGCAUAAUGGUGCAUGGAAUAAUGGAAUAGGACCUCGGUUCUAUUUUGUUGGUUUUCGGAACUCGAGGUAAUGAUUAAUAGGAACAGACGGGGGCAUUCGUAUUGCGGCGUUAGAGGUGAAAUUCUUGGAUCGUCGCAAGACGAA
rnacentral:rRNA from 1 species